AAUGAACGUUGGCGGCAUGGAUUAGGCAUGCAAGUCGAGCGAGAAGUGUAGCAAUACACGGAAAGCGGCGGAAGGGAGAGUAAUACGUGGGAAUCUGCCCUUAGACCUGGGAUAGCAGCGGGAAACUGCUGGUAAUACCAGAUAAUGUCUAUGGACCAAAGGUGUGAUUCCGUCUAGGGAUGAGCCCACGUCCUAUUAGCUAGUUGGUAGGGUAAUGGCCUACCAAGGCGAUGAUGGGUAGCGGAUGUGAGAGCAUGACCCGCCUCACUGGGACUGAGACACUGCCCAGACACCUACGGGUGGCUGCAGUCGAGAAUCUUCGGCAAUGGGCGCAAGCCUGACCGAGCGAUGCCGCGUGCGGGAUGAAGGCCUUCGGGUUGUAGACCGCUGUCGAGGGGGAGCAACUUCCAUAGAGUUAUCUUUAUGGAUUGAGUGAUCCCUGGAGGAAGGACGGGCUAAGUUCGUGCCAGCAGCCGCAGUAAUAC
rnacentral:rRNA from 1 species